rnacentral:rRNA from 1 species
CUGGACGUGUAAGGGUGGUAACAUCCUGAGCUAACCAGUACUAAUAGGUCGUGAGGCUUAACCAC